rnacentral:rRNA from 1 species
AUUGAACGCUGGCGGCAUGCCUUACACAUGCAAGUCGAACGGCAGCGCGGGGCAACCUGGCGGCGAGUGGCGAACGGGUGAGUAAAUAUCGGAACAUACCCUAGAGUGGGGGAUAACGUAGCGAAAGUUACGCUAAUACCGCAUACGCACUAAGGUGGAAAGUGGGGGGAUCUUCGGACCUCAUGCUCAUGGAGUGGCCGAUAUCUGAUUAGGUAGUUGGUGAGGUAAAGGCUCACCAAGCCGACGAUCUGUAGCUGGUCUGAGAGGACGACCAGCCACACUGGGACUGAGACACGGCCCAGACUCCUACGGGAGGCAGCAGUGGGGAAUUUUGGGACAAUGGGCGCAAGCCUGAUCCAGCAAUGCCGCGUGCAGGAUGAAGGCC